GACGAACGCGGCGGCGUGCCUAAUACAUGCAAGUAGAACGCACAGUAUAUACCGUAGCUUGCUACACCAUAGACUGUGAGUUGCGAACGGGUGAGUAACGCGUAGGUAACCUGCCUGGUAGCGGGGGAUAACUAUUGGAAACGAUAGCUAAUACCGCAUAAUAUUAAUUAUUGCAUGAUAAUUGAUUGAAAGAUGCAACUGCAUCACUACCAGAUGGACCUGCGUUGUAUUAGCUAGUAGGUGAGGUAACGGCUCACCUAGGCGACGAUACAUAGCCGACCUGAGAGGGUGAUCGGCCACACUGGGACUGAGACACGGCCCAGACUCCUACGGGAGGCAGCAGUAGGGAAUCUUCGGCAAUGGACGAAAGUCUGACCGAGCAACGCCGCGUGAGUGAAGAAGGUUUUCGGAUCGUAAAGCUCUGUUGUAAGAGAAGAACGGGUGUGAGAGUGGAAAGUUCACACUGUGACGGUAUCUUACCAGAAAGGGACGGCUAACUACGUGCCAGCAGCCGCGGUAAUACGUAGGUCCCGAGCGUUGUCCGGAUUUAUUGGGCGUAAAGCGAGCGCAGGCGGUUAGAUAAGUCUGAAGUUAAAGGCUGUGGCUUAACCAUAGUACGCUUUGGAAACUGUUUAACUUGAGUGCAGAAGGGGAGAGUGGAAUUCCAUGUGUAGCGGUGAAAUGCGUAGAUAUAUGGAGGAACACCGGUGGCGAAAGCGGCUCUCUGGUCUGUAACUGACGCUGAGGCUCGAAAGCGUGGGGAGCGAACAGG
rnacentral:rRNA from 1 species